AAGUCUCCGCAAGGGGAUGAGUAAAGUGGCGACCGGGUGAGUAACACGUAGCUAACCUACCUUCGAGUGGGGGAUAACCUCGGGAAACCGAGGCUAAUACCGCAUAACAUCGCAAGAUCAAAGCAGCAAUGCGCUGGAAGAGGGGGUCGCGGCUGAUUAGCUAGUUGGCGGGGUAACGGCCCACCAAGGCGAAGAUCGGUAUCCGGCCUGAGAGGGCGCACGGACACACUGGAACUGAAACACGGUCCAGACUCCUACGGGAGGCAGCAGUGGGGAAUUUUGCGCAAUGGGGGAAACCCUGACGCAGCAACGCCGCGUGGAGGAUGAAGCCCCUUGGG
rnacentral:rRNA from 1 species